GUGGGGACAUCAGGGAUCAGACCAGACGACCUUUUGGUGAGCAGUCACUUAGACAGCAGGUCCAGUGACCUCAGGACCUUUAAAGAGUCAAGGGGAUUGGGGAGAUAGUUGUGAAUUGUUUUGCUGUAGACCGAUCACAUAGGGGGUGAAGGAGGGAUACGUCAGGAGAAUCUUACUGAAACUGUUACUUCAGCUUUCCCAAGUGAACUUUCACCAGUUUGCAGCUUUAAUCUGAGGCAAAACCAGGAAAAAUCUGAUUGCCUGGAAGACUGCUAGUUUUUAUCUCCCCUAGCUAUGCAUUUCAAACCAUUUCUGUAGGACCAGCCUUGGAAGAAAACGAAUGGUCUGAUUAUACAGCAUUGCAGUGUCUCAGGUAACAAACGCAUGACAGCUAUUUAACCAAUACCUGGGAAGCCAACCAGCAAGGGUGGCAUUAAUGAUUUUGCAGAAAGUUAACUAAGUACAUCUAUCACUUUGUCAUGUAGGGUAAAAGAAAGCAUCAGUCAAAGAAGGAAGAGGGGAGCAGUCUAUGCUUCCUUUUUUAGGUUCUGCUGAAAUCUGCUCUAAGAAUCAAUACAGCUGGAGCUGUGAACAGUACUCAGGCUGAUUAAAUGUAACAGGGAUAGAAAGGGGAGGAGCAAGGCCAGAAGCUGAUCUGGAGCUAAACAGAAGCAUACUGUGGGUCAGGAAAACACCAGGGGUUUACUAAAGGGCUCUCCAAUGGCGAUGCCCUAAAAUUAGUCUCCAGGGGCUUAGCCAUUCCAGUUAUCUUCAAACAAGGGCUUCACCUUAACCAGCUUUGAAAAUGCUCCUGUUCACACACAGAUUCACAGCUGGAGUGAAUACAGGCACCUUCAACUAUAAUCUCAGUUUACAAGAGCUGGGGUUUCAGCCAGCUGAUUUUCACAGCUCCUAACUGCAUCAAGCAAGGCUGUACAAUUCCUCUCUUCUCCUUCCUCCCUUGAAGAAGAGGCAUUGUAUACACCUUUCCAUCCCUUUUCCUCUCGGAAAAUCAGUUCCAGAGGGUCACAGGGGAGUUCACACAUCGCAGAAGGGAACUUGUUGUGCAAUGGCCACUACCAUUAAUACCUUUGAUAUGGAAAUAAAAGGUAAGAGAAAAAUUUCUAAUAGCUUCAUGGUGUCCCUGCAUCUGUGAGUUUUGCAUUAGUUAC
rnacentral:lncRNA from 1 species